rnacentral:rRNA from 1 species
UACGUAGGGUGCAAGCGUUGUCCGGAAUUAUUGGGCGUAAAGAGCUCGUAGGCGGUUUGUUGCGUCGGCUGUGAAAUCCCGAGGCUCAACCUCGGGUCUGCAGUCGAUACGAGCAAACUAGAGUGUUGCAGGGGAGACUGGAACUUCUGGUGAAGCGGUGAAAUGCGUAGAUAUCAGAAGGAACGCCGGUGGCGAAAGCGACUCUCUGGCUCGUAUCUGACGCUGAGGUGCGAAAGCGUGGGGAGCAAACAGG